UGUAGUCAUAUGCUUGUCUCAAAGAUUAAGCCAUGCAUGUCUAAGUAUAAGCAAUUAUACAGCGAAACUGCGAAUGGCUCAUUAUAUAAGUUAUCGUUUAUUUGAUAGUGCCUUACUACUUGGAUAACCGUGGUAAUUCUAGAGCUAAUACAUGCUGAAAGCCCCGACUUACGGAGGGGCGUAUUUAUUAGAUUAAAAACCAAUGCCCUUCGGGGCUCCUUGGUGAUUCAUGAUAACUUCUCGAAUCGCACGGCCUUGCGCCGGCGAUGGUUCAUUCAAAUUUCUUCCCUAUCAACUUUCGAUGUUUGGGUAGUGGCCAAACAUGGUGGCAACGGGUAACGGAGGGUUAGGGCUCGACCCCGGAGAAGGAGCCUGAGAAACGGCUCCUACAUCCAAGGAAGGCAGCAGGCGCGCAAAUUACCCAAUCUCAACUCGAGGAGGUAGUGACAAUAAAUACUGAUGCAGGGCUCUUUAGGGUCUUGCAAUUGGAAUGAGUACAAUUUAAAUCCCUAACGAGGAACAAUGGAGGGCAAGUCUGGUAAUC
rnacentral:rRNA from 1 species